GAUGCCUGUGCGGGGGCAGUGUCUGGGUAGGAGGCCCAGCAAGCAGUCGACAGGACCCCCUCCCGCAGCCAUUGGCCCUGCAGCCUGGCAUGAGCUGAUCAGAGGCGUAAGGACAGCAGCUACUGGGCCCCUUUCCUGACCAGACGCCUGUGGGAGGAGCCAGGGUCCCUCCUGCCCCCUCCGCCCUUCCUGCUCACGUCACCCGCUGUCCUAGGAGCUUCGGGAAGGAGUCACAACCUGUUCCACUCUCCUCUCAAUCGCGGCUUUGAAUUUAUAUACGAGGCGACAGCCUACAAAUGACAGGUGUGACAUGAGGAAACAGAGGCACAUCAGGGAGAAACCGACAAGGAAGAGACGAAAGGCUGCAGCAUCGGACUUGACCGUUGUCCUCCCCCCAUGUAGCCGACAGCAGCAUCCCUCUGUUCUGUGGGUUUGAGGAAAGGCCGGAGUCACACUGAAGGCCGCAUGUAUGUAAUCAGAAGGUCUACGUGUAUAUGUGUA